CUAUGUAUGGAAGGGAUAAGCGCUGAAAGCAUCUAAGUGCGAAGCCCCCCUCAAGAUGAGAUUUCCGAUGCGCAAGCAGUAAGACACCUUAAAGACGAUGAGGUAGAUAGGCUAGGAGUGGAAGCAUAGCGAUAUGUGGAGCGGACUAGUACUAAUCAGUCGAGCACUUGACCAAA
rnacentral:rRNA from 1 species